GUCCAGCUGACGAGUCCCUAAUAGGACUAAAUGCGAGUUGUCCUGGAU
rnacentral:hammerhead_ribozyme from 1 species